CCCGAACUCAUACGGGAGGCAGCAGUGGGGAAUAUUGCACAAUGGGCGGAAGCCUGACGCAGCCAUACCGCGUGUGUGAAGAAGGCCUUCGGGUUGUAAAGCACUUUCAAUAGGGAGAAAAGGCCCCCGGUUAAUAGCCGAGGGGAGUUGAUGUUACCUAUAGAAGAAGCACCGGCUAACUCCGUGCCAGCAGCCGCGGUAAUACGGAGGGUGCGAGCGUUUAUCGGAAUUACUGGGCGUAAAGCGCGCGUAGGCGGCCUGUUAAGUCAGCUGUGAAAGCCCCGGGCUCAACCUGGGAAUUGCAGUUGAUACUGUCAGGCUGGAGUACGAGAGAGGGAGGUAGAAUUCCAUGUGUAGCGGUGAAAUGCGUAGAUAUAUGUAGGAAUACCAAUGGCGAAGGCGGCCUCCUGGCUCGAUACUGACGCUGAGGUGCGAAAGCGUGGGUAGCAAUCAGGAUUAGAUACCCUGGUAGUCCUAGCCGUAAACUGCUCCUCUCUAGCCGUGGGUGAUUGCCCCCCUAGUGCCGCAGCUAACGUCUUAA
rnacentral:rRNA from 1 species